ACAAGGAAGAUAUUCAGACUGUAAACAGAACUAUACCUUCUUCUUCGUCUCUAACCUCUGCUUCCUCUGUUCCUAUGAAUCUCUUGCUAUCUUCCUGAAUCCCCAGUUCCUGCUUCCUACCUCCAAUUCCUGUCUCGGAUCUAUCUCCACUACCUGCUGCUAACAAUUGGUAUCAGAUUCGUUCGAUCCUCGACUUCAAUUUGCCCACGCCAUGUCGCUCGAUUUCAAGCUCAUCCUCGACGAGCUCAACCGGCGAUUCGACGAGCUGGAGGUUCGCUGGGACCGGCGCUUCUCGCCUUCUGCGUACCUCGACCUUCCGCCCACACUGCUCAGCGUCCACCAAUCCUCCGACACAUCCGCCAGCAUGCCGCCCACCCCGACUGCGGCCGUUGGGACCGUCGUCAUCGCCGACAACUGGGGCGGGUGCUUCGAUGACGACAAGGAGUACUACGCAGCGCCAUCUGUCGUUGCCGACAACUGGGGCGGGCUCUUCGAGGGCUGUGAUGCUGACGGCGAUAUCUCUUCGAACCUGCGCGACUCCGACCCCGACGAGGCGUUCGUCACCUCCCACUCGGACAAGGCGUUGUUCGACAACCACCACGCCGGUGAGCUCAUCGCCACCGGCAUCGAAUAUGGCUCAUACAACUCCGUCCAUGGUAGCGGCGGCGCUGCGCUGUCUCAACUCGCGCACAGCAACACCAACUUCGCCAUGCCCACCACCUGUUCGACUUGGGGGCUCACCGAGCAUGCUAUGGCCGAGGCCGUGCACUGUCGCGCGCUAUGGCUGCCCCGACGCGAGCCACUUCCGCGCCUACUUCGUGCGUUCCUAACGCUCGAGCGGCUCGACCUCUCCGCAUGCGCCUCGCUCGACGACGCCUCCCUCGCUGCGUCCGUCGGCGAUGGACCAGCAGCCGCGACAACCUUGUGGUGGUGCGCUUCGGCCACGGGCGACAUGGAGAGCACGCUCAAGGGGAUUCGCGGCAGCGACGCGCCGUUCGUGAUGGACCUAAACGACGCAGCCACCGUGGCGGGCGGCAUCGAGGACACUUACGGCGAGGACCGCGCCAUCGAGGAGCAGCUCGCCACGCCCUUGGACACGCUCCUGUGCGCCCGCCUCGACCCUGUCAAGUCGCACAUCGGGUGCCUGCUGCUGCAGUACCUCAAGCUUUCGCCUACCUUGAUUGGUGCCAAGGUCGCCUUUGGCAGGUUCGACGGACACUUCUUCCACGACUUCACCAUCAUCAAGCUGAAGACGGACAGCAGCAGCUCGCCCCUCGAGUGUUCGACCAAAUGUCUCAGCCACGAUAUUGGACAUGAUUCACGAAAUUAUGCACACAAAUUACAGAAUGCAGUCACUCAUGGAAUCACUGCUGCUGGACAUGAUAUCCUACAGGUGGGAUUGGCUUCAACACCUGCAAUGUUCAACAUUAUACUUAUAGAAGAUGAGAGAAGUCAUUUACCUAUUGACGCCAUUUGCUCUCCUGAUGAAUUGAUAAAGACAUCACGUCUUUGUGCUUUAGAAAUGGUUCAUUGCCGUAAACCUUGGAUGAGAUCUCUUGGCAACACAGAUAGGCUUGGACUAUUCUCUGAAGCUCGUGCUGUGUUAAAUGCAGCAAGACAGCAAGCAAUGAAGAUUGCACUAAACAUGCCACAGCACCAGACCUGCAUAGAUGUGAUGGGAGAAGGCAUAUUAUAUGGAGGUCGACCUGGUGUUUUGAAGGAAGCCAUUGUUUGCUCGAUUCCGGGUGUCAUGGUGUUUACUUGGACUGUUAGGAAUUUUUCUGGAGUUACUCAUUUAUACAGUCAGCAUGACAGAGGUGUGGUGUGGCUAAUCGUUGCUCCUGAUUGCUACUUCAUUCAACACAAUGAGAGGAUGCACAUGAUAUUCUAUGGCUUCGAUCUACUGAGUUUGCAACACUUCCAUGGACAUUUCAUUCAAGCUGAUAUGUUUGCUCCUUGGGAUGGUCAGGAAAUAACCCAGUUUCUAUUUUCUGAACUACCAAUAUAUUGGCAGCAGUCACAUGGUGAAUUUUUCUCAGCUAGCAUAAUUAGACAAUUUCAGUUCAUAUCACAGCUGAUUUUAUUGGCAAUUACAGGCAUGAACAGUCUAUUAUUUUUCAGAAAGCUCAAGUAUUCAUCAUCAGUUGAGAUAUUUUGUGGUGCACAGUUUUCAUUUCCUAAUAUUCUAUUGCCCAAGUCUUGGUCACAGGAGUUAGCCACCAACAUAGAAAGACAUUUACUAUCAGAAAUGCUAGAAGUGGCUAAUGGCUAUAAUUUUCAUGAACUUCAUCUGAUGCUUGCCUCUAUUGGAGUGACACAAAUGAUCAGUUGUGGUAAAUAUUUGAUAUGGAUCAUUGGCUUGCUAACUCCAUGGGAUCCGGGCAGAAUGGUCUUCGACCUCAAGUUCGUGAUGCUUUUGGCUUGAGGGCAAGCCAAAUCUUAAGAAGGGGGGAAUGUCAGGCAUCCAGUGACAGAUACAGGCUACGUCUGAGGACAUAAAUACAAUUGGGCCGGGGCAGAGUGAGCGAGCCGGACGGCAAUUGUGAAGCUGAGCGGCCCAGAGUGGUCAGCAAUGUAAUUUUGUGUCUUGAGCCAGUUGAACGAGUAUUUAGAGGAGAUCGUCCAUAGGACAAGGGAGAUAUUCAGACUGUAAACAGAACUAUACCUUCUUCUUCGUCUCUAACCUCUGCUUCCUCUGUUCCUAUGAAUCUCUUGCUAUCUUCCUGAAUCCCUAGUUCCUGCUUCCUACCUCCAAUUCCUGUCUCGGAUCUAUCUCCACUACCUGCUGCUAACAGAGUGGCUUCUGUCUGUGGCCGACGCCGACGGCGGCGGCCACGUUGAGGUGAGCAGAGCUGCCUAGGCUAUAUCUAGCAUGCAUUUGGAUGGAGCGAGAUCAGUGGUGUGCCCAACGUACCCACGACGUUCUUGAUUUCUGCAGACACACGCAGCAGACUUUGUGGUUCUUUGCGUGGGGAGGUUCAGUGGUGUGCCCAACGUACCCACGACGUUCCCAGAGGGCGAAGGUCCAGAGGUGUUUGACGGGCAGGUGAUGCACUCCAUGGACUACGCCAAGAUGGGCUCGAGCAAGGCCAAGGAGACGAUAAGGGGCAAGCGUGUCACCGUCGUUGGCUACCUGAAGUCGGCGCUCGACAUCGCCGCCGAAUGCGCGCAAGUGAAUGGCACCGCUCACCCUUGCACAAUGGUGGUCCGGACCAAGCACUGGGUCUUGCCGGACUACUUCGCCUGGGGCUUCCACAUCUCAAGGCUCUACCUCAACCGCUUUUCUGAACUCCUCAUCCACAAGCCUGGCGAAGGCCUUCUCCUGUCCGCCUUGGCCACCCUUCUGUCUCCCUUGAGGUGGGCUUUCUCCAAGUUCGCCGAGAGCUACUACUCCAUCCCGAUGAGGAAGCACGACAUGGUGCCCGACCACAGCCUGUUCCAGGCGCUGGCCGCCGCCACCAUCGCCAUCACGCCCAAGGACCACUACAAGCGGCUGGACGAAGGGAGCAUAGUGCUGAAGAAGUCCAAGACGUUCAGCUUCUGCAAGGACGGCGUGGUGGUCGUGGAGGGCGAGCCGUCGUCGUCGGCGUCGGCGCCGGCGGCGGCGGCGGUGGUGAAGAGCGACGUCGUCAUCUUCGCCACCGGGUUCAAGGGGGACGACAAGAUCAGGGACAUGUUCACGUCGGAGUACUUCCGAGGCGUCGCAGUUGGGUCGGCGUCCACCACCGUGCCUCUCUACAGGGAGUGCAUACACCCUAGGAUCCCUCAGCUGGCCGUGCUCGGGUACUCCGAGAGCAUCUCCAACAUGUACACGUCGGACGUCCGCGCCAAGUGGCUGGCGCGCUUCCUGGACGGCGGCUUCAGGCUGCCGAGCGUCGCGGCGAUGCACCAGGACGUCCUCGCGUGGGAGAAGUGCAUCAAGAGGUACUCGGGAAGGUACUUCCGCCGCUCCAGCAUCCUGCUGCUCCACACCUGGUACAACGACCAGCUCUGCCGCGACAUGGGGCACAAUCCCAGGAGGAACAAGGGGUUCUUCUCGGAACUGUUUGACGUCUAUGGCCCCGGCGAUUAUGCUGGCCUCACCUCCUGCGCUAGCUCUAAGGAACACUAGACCUUUGUUGCGCGGUACGUGUUACGAUUCAUGCUCUUUUCCUGCUGCUACGAGGAGUGAGUGAGUGUUCAUGCAUGUUCAGCGAAUGUGUGAUGCGUGUGUACUGUCACAUGUGUGAUCUAUCACCAUCUUAAUUUACACUUUGUCUACAUGAUGUAAAGCUUUCGUGCCGUAUAAUCAAUAAAUUUCGUGUCAUAUUCA